rnacentral:rRNA from 1 species
GAUGAACGCUAGCGACAGGCCUAACACAUGCAAGUCGAGGGGCAGUACAUGAGUAGCAAUACGAUGGUGGCGACCGGCGCACGGGUGAGUAACACGUAUGCAACCUGCCUUCUACUAUGGGAUAACCCGUUGAAAGACGGACUAAUACCGUAUAAUACCGGGGCUCCGCAUGGAGAUAUUUGUUAAAGAUUUAUUGGUAGAAGAUGGGCAUGCGUAUGAUUAGAUAGUUGGUGAGGUAACGGCUCACCAAGUCAACGAUCAUUAGGGGUUCUGAGAGGAAGGUCCCCCACACUGGUACUGAGACACGGACCAGACUCCUACGGGAGGCAGCAGUGAGGAAUAUUGGUCAAUGGACGAGAGUCUGAACCAGCCAAGUCGCGUGAAGGAAGACGGUUCUAUGAAUUGUAAACUUCUUUUGUGCAGGAAUAAAGUGGGUUACGUGUAACCUUUUGUAUGUACUGUACGAAUAAGGAUCGGCUAACUCCGUGCCAGCAGCCGCAGUAACAC